AAUCCAAAAUAUAUCACAACUUUAUUAGUCAUAUGAGCUUCUAAUGGAAGGAUACCAAAAUACAGUAGGAUCUGAUACGGUUGAGCAGAACCCAGAGAGAACGCAGAGGGAACCUCACCCUGCGGUCAACCGCCGAAAGUUUUUAAGGGAUUAAAAGCAAAGAUGCCGGUUCACCGCACGAGAGAUGGAAUGAAAGCUAGGAGCUGUGAUGCAUCUAACAGCAGACAGACUCGUAAGGCAGGCUACGGUAAUUUAUCAUCUUUUAUUACACCGACUUUAUCUGCGUGUCAGGUGAAGACUUGUAAGGAAGGCUGUCAUUUAUUUCUUGGAGGACAGCUGAUCCAAGCCUAGAGAGGGAGGCCUUGGAAACCACGCAAAAAGGACACGGUUCCUUUAUUUAUUUAUUUU
rnacentral:lncRNA from 1 species